rnacentral:rRNA from 1 species
AUUGAACGCUGGCGGCAGGCCUAACACAUGCAAGUCGAACGAGUGGCGGACGGGUGAGUAAUGUCUGGGAAACUGCCCGAUGGAGGGGGAUAACUACUGGAAACGGUAGCUAAUACCGCAUACCAUCGGAUGUGCCCAGAUGGGAUUAGCUUGUAGGUGAGGUAACGGCUCACCUAGGCGACGAUCCCUAGCUGGUCUGAGAGGAUGACCAGACCGACGGGGACUGAGAAACGGUCCAGACUCCAACGGGAGGAAGCAGUGGGGAAUAUGGCACAAGGGGGGCGAGCCUGAUGCAGCCAUGCCGGGUGGAUGAAGAAGGCCUUCGGUCUGUAAAGUACUUUCAGCGGGGAGGCGUUACCCGCAGAAGAAGCACCGGCUAACUCCGUGCCAGCAGCCGCGGUAAUUC